rnacentral:rRNA from 1 species
UACAGAGGGUGCAAGCGUUGUUCGGAAUUAUUGGGCGUAAAGAGCUUGUAGGCGGUUUGUCGCGUCUGCUGUGAAAAUCCGGGGCUCAACCCCGGACUUGCAGUGGGUACGGGCAGACUAGAGUGUGGUAGGGGAGACUGGAAUUCCUGGUGUAGCGGUGGAAUGCGCAGAUAUCAGGAGGAACACCGAUGGCGAAGGCAGGUCUCUGGGCCACUACUGACGCUGAGAAGCGAAAGCGUGGGGAGCGAACAGG